GCCAUUGCAAUACAUAAGCUGUACUUUGGAAAUUUAUAUUUGCUAAAUAAAAGUUAAAAAAUACUUUUUCGGUAUUAUUAAGCCAUAAUGGCUGUACUGGCACUAUAACACCAAUUUUACCAAAUUUUUUCAAGAUUACAUUUAAUUAAGAUGUCACAAUGAUGUGUUACUAAUAGAACAAUGUAUUUUCUUUCAGAUCAUUUCAGCAAUUCCUUCAGCAAAGGAUAAGAUGAAAUGAUCUGGGUAAACUGCUUAUUAGAGGCCUCGAACCAGGGCUGUGAUGGAGAGUUUUCAGUGGAAAUUCUACAGAAAGAAGGGAGUCUCUAUGAAGUAGUGUGGGCACUACAAACAUGGAGCAGUGAGCAGUGACACCACCGCCAACUUCCACAAGUUAGAGGCUGGAGGAGAAGCCAUCUUCUUGGGACAAGGUUGUUGGACAUCUGGGUUGAUUCCACAUCUUAGCUACUAUGAACUGAGCUGCAAUAAACAUGGAGGUAAAGGUAACAUUUUUAUAUGCUGAUUUUGUUUCAUUUUGGUAAAUUCCCAGGAGUGGGAUGGCUAGAUCUUAUUGUAUAUCUAUUUUCAGCUUUCUGAGGAAUCUCCAUACUGUCUUCCACAAUGGCUGUGUUAGUUUGCAUUCUCACCAACAGUUGAUUAGGGUACUUUUCACCCCACAUCCUCACUAGCAUUUGUUAGUUUUUGAUUGUUGUAUGGGAGCCAUUCUAACUGGGGUGAGGUGAAAACUAAUUGUGCUUAUAUUUUCAUUCCCUUGAUGGGUGGCAUGCACAAUUUUAAUAACAAAAGAAAGAUGAGCUUGAAUUUUUGAAAGGAUAUUUCAGACUCACAACCUUUCUAAAAAGUAGUUUUAAAGAAGUUCCCAUUUAUGUCCAGAGAUAGUGAAAGUAGCUGUAUUCUGAGGUCUGCCACUAAGUUGCUCAAAGACCUAGCUGCUCCCAACAACAAAUGAAACACUCCAAUAUGCUAAGGAGACAUGGCAUAUAAUCAUAUGUGGGUGCUGGAUUUUUCUUUUUUUUUUCUUUUUUUUUAUUUGACAGGUAGAGUCAUAGAGAGAGAGACAGAAAGGUCUUCUGUUAGUUCACUCCCCAAAUGGCCGCCAUGGCAGGUACUGCACUGAUCUGAAGCCAGGAGCCAGGUGCUUUCUCCUGGUCUCCCAUGCAGGUGCAGGGGCCUAAGUACUUGGGCUAUCCUCCACUGCCCUCCCGGGCCACAGCAGAGAGCUGAACUGGAAGAGGAGCAACUGGGACUAGAACUUGGUGCCCACAUGGGAUGGUGGUGCCACACGUGGAGGAUUAACCAAGUGAGCCAUGGCACUGGCCCCGAAUUUUCAAUUAUUAUGUUCCAAAUGGGAGUUUAGAAGAUACUCAUGGCUGCAACCCUAGAACCUCGCAUAGUUUUAGGCAUAUAGUUGACACAGAAUAUUUGAUUGGUGAAUACCUGAUGGCUAUUUAAAAAUAAAAUCCAGCAUUUAUACAGGUAUCCAUACUUUUUAAUCAAGCAUCUACACAUAUAUUUUUGAAAGACUGGACCAGGAGACAAGGCAAUGAAAACCAAAGAGGAAAAUUCUCCAAACAAGACAUUAAGACUAGAGUGGAACCCCUUUGGUAGGGAGGUUCUGGCAUGGGAUUAUAUGGCCUUACAGAGCCUGUGAAGUCUCCAUGCUAAUACCUCUCUAUACUAGUUGUCAAGUGUCAUGUUGACUUAUCAAAACUGGAGAAUUUGAGGAGAAAUGGGAUACUGCAGUCAACAGGAAAUAACUUGAGAACAGUGUUCUUUAUUAAUUGGGGGGGGGGGGUUCUGUGGCACAAUGAGUUAAAGCCGGAGCCUGCAGUGCCGGCAUGCCAAAUGGGCACCAAUUGGAGUACCAGCUACUCCGCUUCUUUUCUGGCUCUCUGCUAUGGCCUGGGAAAACAGUAGAGGAUAGCCCAAGUCCUUGGGCCCCUGCACCCAACUGGGAGAUCCAGAAGAAGCUCCUGGCUCCUGGCCUCAGAUAAACUCAGCUCUGGCUGUUGCAGUCAUUGGGGGAGUGAACAAGUGGAAUGGAGGACCUCUGUCUUUCUGGCUCUACCUCUCUCUGUAAUUGUCUUUCAAAUAAAUAAAAUGAUUCUCAAAAAAAAAAAAAUGCUGAGGUAUGGAAUGUCAGAUCAAUUGCCUUUCAAGGCUUCUGCAGAAUCUAUCACUUUAUAAAGGCCUGGCCAAUAGAAGGGACUUUCACUGGAGCAAUGUGACCCUUUAAGGUACAAGUUCCUGCUGACUAGCUAAGAAUGACAAAAUUAGCUGACAAAAUGCACAAAAAGGCAUGGGUCAGGGCUGGUGCUAUGGCUUAAUCUGUAAAGUCACCACCUGCUGUGCUGGCAUCCCAUGUGGGUGCCAGUUCAAGUCCCAGCUCCUCCUCUUCCAAUAAAGCUCUCUGCUUUUGCCUGGGAAGGCAGAGGAAGAUGGUCCAAGUCCUUGGGCCCCUGCAUCCACACAGGAAGACCUGGAGGAAGUUCCUGGUUUCUGGCUUUGGAUCAAUGCAGCUCCAGCCAUUGUGGCCAGCUGGGGAGGGAACCAUAGGAUGGAAAACUUCUCUCUUUCCUCUGCCUCUCCUCUCUCUGUGUAACUCUGACAGUCAAAUAAAUAAAUAAAUAUUUAAGAAAAAGAAGGCAUAGAUCAGGACCAAGAUCAGGAACAUUCAUUCACUUAUCAGAAUCAGAGGCUAAUUCAAAGCAGGGAUGGACUUCAGACCCAGGAUAGGCCAGCUCAUGAGGCCCAGGACCACCCAUGUUUGCCACCUCAGCACCCAUGUUUGCCAUCUCAGCCAUAGCUCCAUAAACUACUCCAGCAUGACAAAUGACACAGACUUUGCAGAUUCUUGAAGUUGCAAGUUCUGGCCUAGAGCUGAGCACUCUAGGGUUAUCCCUCUUCACACCAGCAGGAUUAGAGCAACUGCUAAUAAACAUGUGUUUGUCUGAAGAAGUAAUCAACUUGACCAAGGGAGAUUUCAAAAAACAGAAAAAAAUUCAAACUCACAGUGAGUCAAGGAUCUAAAUCUGAGACCCAAAACAAUCAAAUUACCAGAGGAAAAGUUAUGGGAAACACUGAACGACAAUAACAUCUGUAAAGACUUCUUGAACAAGAUCCUAUAAUCAUGGGCAGUAAUGCAAAAAUACACAAAUGGGGUUACAUCAAGCUAAGAAACUUCUGAACAGCAAAGGCAGCACUCAACAAAGUAAAGAGGCAACCAACAGAAUUGGAGAAAAUAUUUGUUAACUAUAUAUCUGAUAUCUGAUAAAAGGCAAAUAUCCAUAAUAUAUAAGGAGCUUAAAAAUCAGCAACUAAACAAAUCAUCCAGUUAAGAAAUGGGAUAAGGAUAUGAACAGGCAUUUUUCAAAUGGUGAAAUACAAAUGGCCCACAGGCAUAAGGAAAGAUGUUCAGGAUCACUAGGCAUCAGGGAAAUGCAAGUAAAAGCUACAAUCAUGUUUCACUAUACCCCAAAAGAAAUUCUGGUAUGGAGCUGGCUGGCAAGAGUGUCCAGGGCCACAAACAACCACAGAGGACUGUGCCCCAAAGGAGAACCCUGGGCUUCAGAAUGCCACACCAUCCAAAUCUGUCAGGAAUAUUAGCAACCAAGUGCAUUUGUUGAGGGACAAAGGCUCAGUGCCCACUUUGUCCUCUGUCUGCAGCACUCCAAGCACCACUUGAGAGCUUCCCAGGCCACUUACAUGAGACCAUAGGAAAGGCUUCCAAGUGCAAAAGUAUCUCAGAUGAUCUGCAGAAAACCCGAGGAUUCCCAUCUGUUGCCUCUUAAAUUAGUAAAUCUGUUAUGAUGUAGUUUAGGUACAAUCAGAACAACACAAAUAGUGAGAUUAAUUUUAUAGCUGUUUUAGGAUUAUUUCUUUCACUUUAAAGUUAAAUGCAAAUAGCAUGGCCAUCAAUAAGUCUCUGCCCUGGUUUCUGUGAGCAGACCAAGUAAUGUCAGGAUUAUAUCCACAGAGAGCCCGCUGAUGCAGAACAAGGUUUCUGAGCAUGCUUUCAGUUGUGCUCGAAAGACGUUCAGAUGAGGAAACCUCCUUAGGACUUGACCCAUCAGUGUCCUGUGUACACAGUAACAGCUGAGGAAGACAGAAAAAUGCCAUGUGGUGUUUUCCGCUUGUGUCCAGCCCCCAUCCUAAAGGGCUACAGUCCCCAAGACCAGGUCUGGUCAUACUGCAGAAAUGGGUAUUUAUGGAGUAUGUUCUGCUGGACUUUAAGUCUUGUUUAGUGCAGGAUAGGCCAUAAUCAUUUCUGCCAUUAUCUUGGGUGGAAUUGUGGUCCGCAGCAAAGUUUGAUUUCCUUACUCACACUCCUUCCUUCUACCUGCAUGCAGUUUGAUGGUGACCCGUCAACAGGAGCUGCAAUAAGAAACUUAAUUUUGGGAUCAUCAUCCCUAGCUGAGAACUUUAGCCAUGUGGCCCUAAAUGAAAACAGAUUGAGUCCAUUGGGUGUAGCAUGGUACUGAGAAGCAAAUCAAGAGAUUCCCUUACAGAAAUCUCUCCUGUCUUAGGAAUUGUGGUAUCUUUUACACUGAUGAUUUAUUAUUUAUUUAUUUAUUUAAAGAGACCCAGUUUAUUUUGGUUUCCUAGUCCUCUUCAGGGCUGAGACAUCCCCCUGCGGGGAUGUGCGUUCAUUGAAAAGAGGGCUCUGGAGAUCUGAUCCAACUGUGGGUUGCAAGAGAGAAGGACAAGAGUCAGAGCCCCAGAAUGGCUCAGACUCGGGGGUGGAGAGACUCCAGAGCUGGUACAGACUCCAACAGUGACCACAGCGGCAGGAUUCUGAGACAUGGGCCUGCACAGCACUCUGCAGGGGCACUGCAAGGAGGGCAUCAGCAGACCUCGCCAUGGCGCAAAUCUGGUGAGCACUGGGCCUGCACUGCCU